rnacentral:rRNA from 1 species
AUUGAACGCUGGCGGCAUGCCUUACACAUGCAAGUCGAACGGUAACAGGUCUUCGGAUGCUGACGAGUGGCGAACGGGUGAGUAAUACAUCGGAACGUGCCCGAUCGUGGGGGAUAACGAAGCGAAAGCUUUGCUAAUACCGCAUACGAUCUACGGAUGAAAGUAGGGGACCGCAAGGCCUUGCGCGAACGGAGCGGCCGAUGGCAGAUUAGGUAGUUGGUGGGAUAAAAGCUUACCAAGCCGACGAUCUGUAGCUGGUCUGAGAGGACGACCAGCCACACUGGGACUGAGACACGGCCCAGACUCCUACGGGAGGCAGCAGUGGGGAAUUGUGGACAAUGGGCGAAAGCCUGAUCCAGCCAUGCCGCGUGCAGGAUGAAGGCCUUCGGGUUGUAAACUGCUUUUGUACGGAACGAAAAGACUCUGGUUAAUACCUGGGGUCCAUGACGGUACCGGAAGAAUAAGCACCGGCUAACUACGUG